GUGCCAGCAGCCGCGGUAACACCAGCGCCACGAGUGGCUAUCGCGAUUAUUGGGCCUAAAGCGUCCGUAGUCGGCUCUGUACAUCUUCUGUGAAAUCGUUGCGCUUAACGUAACGGCACGCGGAAGACACGGCAGAGCUUGAGAGCGGGAGGCGUGAAGAGUACUCCUGGGGGACCGGUAAAAUGGUAUAAUCCCAGGAAGACUACCUGUGGCGAAGGCGCUUCACGAGAACGCAUCUGACGAUGAGGGACGAAAGCCAGGGGAGCAAACCGGAUUAGAAACCCGAGUAGUCC
rnacentral:rRNA from 1 species